GGUAGAAGGGAUUUUUAUUUUUUUUCUAUUUGUAACAAGUGCAUUUACAAGACCCCUUAGGCAUCCAAACUCAAGAAAUACAAUAGACGCCGGGGAAAUUGCUGUUGACAUAUGAAAAUAAAUCAUCCCCCAUGAUUGACGGGAAAGUACCCCCUUUUUUUUUUGGAAGAUGCGUACGGACAAUAGGCGGCCGACUAGGCUCUUAAUACAUCAAAAGCGCUAGUGUCACCGUCGACAUUAUCUCUACAUUUAAUAUUGGAUUUGGGAAGUUCACAACAAACAAUCACUAUCCGUUUUCCCCGUCUAAUCUCACCGACACGCUUAAUUUUACGGCCGGAGCAGGGAGCUAUCCAUACACCAAACACACUUCCAGAGCUGAAAAAAUUUUCUCAUUAAAUGCUUCUGUGCCAUUUCAGAAACACACCAACAUCAAAUUUCAUGCGCAUGAUCUUAUUUUAAAUGCAUUAACAACUUUAAAUUAACUUCCAUUCGUGAUCACUGGACCAAAUGAUUAUGAAUAGAAUCACAGCAUUAAUCUCUACGCUGUCGCUAGAUUCUUUAUUCGAUGCCAAGAAAAAGAACCAAGGCCAAUAAGAGCAGUUUUUCGCUCCAACUGUAUCAUGGCUUUCCGUCAGCUGUUUGCAUUGCUUCAUCAUACACAGGAUUAACUGCUAAUUUAGGCUGCCCAGAACAAUCUUUGGAUUCUUGAAUGGAAUGUUGGGUUAAUAAUUUUGCUGCACCAAGGGACGAAUGGAACUGUUCAUGCCCUUCUGGCUUCAAAAACAUUAGCUCAUCAUAGUUCCCUUCAUAAUGCAAGCACUGCGUUUUUCUCCUCUGAACCUCAUCCUUCACUCUCUGCAGCAGCCUCGAAUCAAACUUUGGCAAUCCAAUUUGUUCAACAGUAAGCGAACCGAAGAAGUUACCCAGCAAGGCAGCAUCAGGUACAGCCAAUCCCUGCAUCAAUCCCGUCACAAACCCACCUAAGAAGCUAUCCCCUGCACCCGUGGGAUCCUCUUGAUUAGCCAAAAAGGGUGAAAUCUCCAUCUCCCCAUCUUUCCAACACACCUUACAUCCAUCUUCCCCUUUCGUCACCACCACACAACACCACUUCCUUACCUCCUCCACAUCCAUGAACACAGCCUCCUCUGAUGACACCUUUAAAACCCCAAUUCGAGGCAACAAGGAACGAAACCCCGUUUCGCGUAAAUCAACGAGCUUAACUGUCCCAUCAACGGCAUCAAAAUCCCUUAUUAAAGCUUGAAUAUCCACGAGAACCACAUCACAAAUCUCAAUCAUUCUCUCAAGCGUCUCGGGCAAUAUCUCCCCGCCAACCCCAACCGCCAUCCCAAAAUCGAACCUCGCGUCAGGAAGAUCCGUCGGACUAAUUGGAUCACAUAAGCAUACCCGUUUUAAGACCCGAUCUUGGUUUCCAUUUUCGUGUACACCCGAAUCAAAAUAGGCGUGAAACACGGUCGUCUUGGAAGCAGGCACUAAAAUUGGGAUAUGAUUAACAUGGUAUCCAAAAUCGUGCCCAACUUUGGCAACUAAACUACAAGGAAUUGACAUCCCAUCAAGGACGCUGGCUAUGAAGGAGGAGGCGCCGCCAAGAGAUUCGCCAACGACGGUGUCAUUUUGGAUUAAAACAUCGUGGCAGUAGUUGCCGACGAUUAAAACACGGGGUGUGGGAAAUUGGUGGGUUUUGUGAGAAGCGGUUACCAUUGUGGGUUGCGGUGGGUUUGGGGGGUCAUAAGUGAAGAAGAAGAUAAGAGAAUGAGUCAGUUUGGCGGUGAGAGAGACAUAGAAGCCAAAGACGAACACGGAUUUUAAGGAAAUGGAGGAUGUGCCUGUCUAGUAUCUGAUUAGAGAAAUGCACAAAAAUUGGAGUAAGCGUAGGUAACAAGAGAGACAGAUGAUCGCGCUGGGGAGAGAUUUUUGUGGGCUUGCAUUUAUAGAAAGAAAGAGGGAUCGUUGGUC
rnacentral:misc_RNA from 1 species